rnacentral:rRNA from 1 species
AUUGAACGCUGGCGGCAUGCUUUACACAUGCAAGUCGAACGGUAACAGGCCUUCGGGUGCUGACGAGUGGCGAACGGGUGAGUAAUGCAUCGGAACGUACCCAGAGGUGGGGGAUAACGCAGCGAAAGCUGUGCUAAUACCGCAUGUGAUCUGAGGAUGAAAGCGGGGGACCGAGCAGCAAUGUUUGGCCUCGCGCCUUUGGAGCGGCCGAUGUCGGAUUAGCUAGUUGGUGGGGUAAAGGCCUACCAAGGCGACGAUCCGUAGCUGGUCUGAGAGGACGACCAGCCACACUGGGACUGAGACACGGCCCAGACUCCUACGGGAGGCAGCAGUGGGGAAUUUUGGACAAAGGGCGCAAGCCUGAUCCAGCAAUGCCGCGUGCGGGAAGAAGGUCUUCGGGUUGUAAACCGCUUUUGGCAGGAACGAAACGGUGUCCGCUAAUACCGGGCGCUAAUGACGGUACCUGCAGAAUAAGCACCGGCUAACUACGUG